AGGGCACCACCAGGAGUGGAGCCUGCGGCUUAAUUUGACUCAACACGGGAAAACUCACCCGGCCCGGACACUGGAAGGAUUGACAGAUUGAGAGCUCUUUCUUGAUUCAGUGGGUGGUGGUGCAUGGCCGUUCUUAGUUGGUGGAGUGAUUUGUCUGGUUAAUUCCGAUAACGAACGAGACUCUAGCCUACUAAAUAGAUCGUCGACUUACAAACGCCGGCGAGACUUCUUAGAGGGACAGGCGGUGAUUCAACCGCACGAAACAGAGCAAUAACAGGUCUGUGAUGCCCUUAGAUGUCCGGGGCCGCACGCGCGCUACACUGAAGUGAUCAGCGUGCUUUUUCAACCUACUCUGUCAAGAGUGGGGAACCCAAUGAACCUUCUUCGUGAUUGGGAUAGGGGAUUGUAAUUGUUCCCCUUGAACGAGGAAUUCCCAGUAAGCGCGAGUCAUAAGCUCGCGUUGAUUACGUCCCUGCCCUUUGUACACACCGCCCGUCGCUACUACCGAUUGAAUGUUUU
rnacentral:rRNA from 1 species